AAUCUGUGCCUAUGUCACAAAUAAUAUAAUACUACUAUGUCAAUCAAAAACAGAAAGAUGUUCUGAAAUCAUGAGAAAGGGAGCUGAAUAAACGACACAAGGUGCUGAAUAUUGAAAGAUGAACACUUGAAAAAGAUGGUGUAAAGUUGAACCCUUUGUGAUUGUCAAUAUUCACAAAAAUAUAGCAUUUUUAUUCGGUUAAAGUGAUAAUUUAGACGUAGCCGACCAAAACGUAUACCACAAAUAGUUGAGUAAAACGUUUUUCAAAAAGACAUUUGCAUUGCAGAACCAUAGUGUGCUGUGUACUGAUUUGAACAUCCAGAGUUUUAAGAAAUACCUGGGUACAGUAAUGUCUCUCCCAGGGUAGACUUGACACAUUUAUUAGAGAAUUAACAUCUAACGUCACCCAGGACACAUUUACAUCAGAACACUCAUUGUGGGCGACAAAGGAAACCAUGAAUGGAAAUUGGAAACAUAUGUAUAUUAGCAAAAGGAGCUUAAAGGACUAGGGCUGUGACGGAAAGCCAAAAGGAAACAAUACAGAUUCAUUUCAAAUUUGAAUUUGAGACAGUAUUAAAACACGCUGGUGCCUCCAAUAUUGGCACAACCCCUCCCCAAGAUGGAACUGAUAAUCUUACUCACAGGAGGAACACAACGCUAUUAAAAUAGCAUUGUUUGGCUGAGAACUUCUGCAAGGUGGAAGUCCUUCCCCAGGUGGGCGAUUCUAUUUAUGAGCGAGAGUCCUGCUGUGCCCUACUUCUCUUAUAUACUUAAGAAUUUGACCUCUCGCACAGGAGAAAGUAGACAAUCAUUACAAUACACAACAGACAUGUUUUUGGAAUACUGUUAAACCAAAACCAACAAGGAUGGACUAUAUUGGAUUGCCAUUAAGUUUUAGCAAGACAACCAAUAUUUACACCAUUAAAGGCACCAGCAAUAACAAAGAAAAUGGCAAUCACUGGAUUGAUUGUGGCUAAAGAUAUUAUUAUUUUAAGAGCUUUUUUUACCUUCUUCAGAUAUAUAAGUCCUAUUGUAUCCUGAACUGAUUGACAAAUAUUUUUCCGUUGCUGAAUGAUUUCUACAGUGGCUAAAUUGAUUUAAUGUUUCUAGGAAUAACCUCGGCAGGGAGCUCCACAUUCCACAGCGUGAGCGUUUGCAGUAGAAAACUCCCCUAAAACUACACUGUAAUCAUUUGGGUUCCAGUGUCUAAGGAUGAAUUCCCUGUCGAUGGCGAAUAAUGCGAUGGUAAAAGCUAUCUGUGGGCAUUAUUUCGAAUAAAUACCUACAAUUCGUUAUACUAGUACUAGAUCACACAAAGGGAAGCAAAGUGUCGCCUUAGACUCAAGAACUACUUGUAAACAUAAAGUCGUCAACAAUUAUCAUUCUUAAUCAAGAUUUUGCAGAAAAGGGAAUAAGUUGUAUAGGAAUAUGAGGAGUCUAGUUGAAAAUCGUUAAGCAAUAUAUUUACCCAACUCCAAAUAUAUCCCAAUCUGCCUAUUUAUAGUGUGUAAAGAUUGGUAAAUGUUUGCCA